rnacentral:rRNA from 1 species
GAGUUUGAUCAUGGCUCAGAACGAACGCUGGCGGCGCGUUUUAAGCAUGCAAGUCGAGCGGCAAGGGUAGCAAUACCCCUAGAGCGGCGGACGGGUGAGUAACACGUGGACAACCUGCCCUUAGGUGAGGGAUAGCCCAGGGAAACCUGGAUUAAUACCUUAUAAGACCACUGAUAGGAGUGUGAGUGGGGAAAGGUGCUACGGCGCCGCCUGAGGAUGGAUCUGCGUCCCAUUAGCUAGAUGGCAGGGUAAAGGCCUACCAUGGCGACGAUGGGUAGCCGGCCUGAGAGGGUGAACGGCCACACUGGAACUGAGAGACGGUCCAGACUCCUACGGGAGGCAGCAGCUAAGAAUCUUCCGCAAUGGGCGCAAGCCUGACGGAGCGACGCCGCGUGAACGAUGAAGGCCGCAAGGUUGUAAAGUUCUUUUCGGGAAGGAGAAUAAGGGGAGCAGGCAAUGGCUUUCCGAUGCCGUGAAUCCCGGAAUAAGCCCCGGCUAACUACGUGCCAGCAGCCGCGGUAACACGUAGGGGGCGAGCGUUGUUCGGAAUCAUUGGGCGUAAAGGGCGCGCAGGCGGCGUAUAAAGUCUGGCGUGAAAGUCCCCGGCUCAACCGGGGGAUAGCGUUGGAAACUGGUAUGCUUGAGUACGAGGGGGGAU